rnacentral:misc_RNA from 1 species
GGAAGUAAAAAGUCGUAACAAGGUUUCCGUAGGUGAACCUGCGGAAGGAUCAUUAUCGAAAUACUUAUUUAGCGUUCCGUGCUAUCCCAUUGUUUUAUUUACCCUGUUGCUUCCACUGGAUGAGUUUCCAUACCUUGUGUUUGAGAAACUUCGGCUUGUGUAAGAUUCAUUCACGGCCAGCCAGUGAGAAGACCAUUUACAAAACCCUGUUAAGAACCAAUUGUCUGAAUAUUUUACUCCAAUGAAAUAAAACUUUCAACAACGGAUCUCUAGGCUCUU